rnacentral:rRNA from 1 species
CGUAGGGUGCGAGCGUUAAUCGGAAUUACUGGGCGUAAAGCGUGCGCAGGCGGUUUUGUAAGACAGGCGUGAAAUCCCCGGGCUCAACCUGGGAACUGCGCUUGUGACUGCAAGGCUAGAGUACGGCAGAGGGGGGUGGAAUUCCACGUGUAGCAGUGAAAUGCGUAGAGAUGUGGAGGAACACCAAUGGCGAAGGCAGCCCCCUGGGUCGAUACUGACGCUCAUGCACGAAAGCGUGGGUAGCAAACAGGAUUAGAUACCCUGGUAGUCCACGCCCUAAACGAUGUCAACUAGGUGUUGGGUGGGUAAAACCAUUUAGUACCGGAGCUAACGCGUGAAGUUGACCGCCUGGGGAGUACGGCCGCAAGGGUUA